rnacentral:rRNA from 1 species
UACGUAGGUGGCAAGCGUUACUCGGAAUCACUAGGCGUAAAGCGCAGGUAGGCGGUUAGAUAAGUUUCUUGUGAAAGCUCCUGGCUUAACUGGGAGAGGUCAAGGAAUACUGUUUGACUUGAGUGUGGUAGGGGUAACUGGAAUUCCCGGUGUAGCGGUGAAAUGCGUAGAGUAUCGUCUGGAACGCCGAAGGUGAAAACAGCUCGCUGGGGCUGAUGCUGACGCUGAGACACGAAAGCCAGGGGAGCGAACGGGG